GCAAAACCACUUUCCUGUUUUGUCCAUUUAAAAAUGUAAUUUUCAAUACCCACGGAAUAUAUUAUAAUUUGUAACAUCGUAAUCCGUGGACUCAAUUCAGCUCAUGAUAGACACCAUUUCAUAACAUCCGCUGAACGUGGUGCAAAAUAUAGAUCUACAGCCCAACGGUUAAUUUUUCAUUCUCGACAGAUAGGAAUCUGUAAUUCUCGACAGUUCGGUCAGACUGGAUUACAUAAAAUACACUAUUCGAAUUACAGCUCAGGGACAUAUUCAUGCAGAC
rnacentral:lncRNA from 1 species